GGACAUCUCCCCUCACGGGUGUGAGGGACAUCUCCCCUCAGAGGUGGGUGUGAGGGACAUCUCCCUCAGAGAUAUAAACUUCACUGGAGAAGUGAUGACGCUGAAGUCUCAGGACAGAAAUCUUCCAAAAUCCCCUUCCUAUUAUAGCAAGAUCGAGGAAUAAAGAAGAGUGUUUGCUCGUAGGUGGUGGAGUCAUUGUUAAAAAAGGCAUAUUUGUGUGUAGGCUUGUUGUUUAAUAUUCACCUGGCCCCUGUGAUGUCGCGGCUCUCCUCGCUCUGGGUGGAGAUGCAGUUCUCACCUCUCCCGUGCAAAACCCGGCCCGGUGCCCCUGUGCAGCAUAUCCAGUCAGGGUGACCAGAAAUGAGCUCUGUCAUACAAGGUUAUUUCCCCUGUCAGCAAAAUGGGCAAGUUUUUCUCACAUACAUUAUUUUCCCAAGAGUUCUUCUUGCUAUUUGGCUCUGAGGAUCCUUGUCCUUAAAUGAGUGAUGCUUUCUUCCAAGAUACCCGCACUGAGCAUUUUUAACACUUCACUAAAGCGGUGUUAUUGUCAGAGACCCAUCAGGAUGUGCAGCUGUGUGACUCAUUCUUGACUCCGGGCCUCACAAAAUUUUCAGUUGAGGCACUAUCUGUACUCAACUUCCAUUAAAAAGGAGGUGCCUUAUUAGCUGAAGUCUGAUUUUUUUGUCAGGUUUCUAAAGUUCCAUUAAACCUUGCAAGAUGGCACAGGCCAAGAAAUGAGAAAAAAUCCUUUUGUAUACAGUUGUCCUGGCAGUGUUUUACAGGUUGUUUUCUUUUGCUGUUUUGAGAAAUCAUUCAAUAAUGCACCGUGCAUUUGGGUGUAAUGAAAAGGCCUUGCACUUUAUAUAAGGUUCAAAUCAACAAGAUUAUAGGGUGGACCUCACCACGAAAGCACAAAUGGGAAUGAGCACCUGAAUUCUUGCUGAGUUUUAUAGGAACCAAGCACUGCACUGAAUGAAGCCUGAGAGCCGUCUCUCCACGAGCCCUAGAAGUUAGAUGGCACUAAGGAAAGAUUUGCGAGUUACACUGAGUAGUUUAAAAAAAAAAACCAACACCACCACUCUCAAAGAAUGACAGUAUUUUGACAUCUUGGAAUAAAAUUACACUUAAAAUCUUCACCAAUGUCUUACCAAACCGAUUCCAGUUAAAACUGAAUUCACAACAGAAAGCGAAACUCUUGAUAACUAACUGCUGGGAAAAAAAAUGUUUAAUAGAUUCAGACAUGGUAUAAUUGAGACAUUUGUACCAUUUUCUCUAGAAAUUAUAUGGCCGUAUGAUAUAUAGACUAAAAAAGACUACUGAGUUAUUAAGGCUUUUAAGAAGUUCCCUCUUUUUUAUCUGUAGGUUUUAUCAAAACAAAAUGGGAAACUUGGGUUGUAAAAGCUGUUGAGAAACUUUGCCAUAGGCAUAUGAGUGUCUCUUUUGAGAUUAGAAAAUCAAAGUUAACAGUCCCUGAGAUUCUAGUCUGCAUCCUGGAGUGCUGAGUCCUUUCCCGCCCUGAUCCCACGGCCUGGCAUGAAAACAAGGCCAGAAUAGUCCUGUGGUCUUGGAGAAGACCUCUUACUUGGUUUGUGGUUUAUUAUAUAUUCUGUGGUAUAGGGAGGAGGAAAAAUAAGAGCCUUUUCACAAAUAGACUGGAACGGUGUGGAUGUUUAUACAAAUAAAAUAUGUUUUUUCUGUGCUUUCAAUAAUA